CCACAACUUAAUACAUCCUAAAAUAAACAAGGAAGGGAAACAAAAGAAAUCUCCCACCACCACCACCACCCCCCAACCCCCACCACGGCCACCGCCAAUAAGACUAUGUUCCGAUUUAGAAUGGUGGGGAGUGGAAUGAUACACACAAAUGCAUCAGCAGGCUUACGAUCGUAAACCAAGGUAAAAUGACAAGAGGAUGAAAAUGAUUGACCGCCGAAUUUUCGCUGGAUCCCGUGUCCAUUCCGAAUACAUGAGUACAGCGUUUCCCGAUUUGUCUCUGACAGAUAAUGCCUUCUUUUUACAACAACAAAAGACUCAUAUUCAAUUUGAAGAAGCUUGCGCCACACUCCAGGCUAACAGAAAGGAGAAACAAUUUAUCCAAGCAUUUGGAUGUUCCCGCACCAGCCCACAAUUUCUUUGUUCAGCUCCAGGACUUCAAGAGAAGCAACAUUUUAAAAUGAAUAAAUCGAACUUUUAAAAGAGUGUUCUGGUUCUUUUCGUUAUCAUCCUGGAGAACAUCCCUGGAUUUCGAAGCCUUUGGUUACAGUCUUUGAGAAACUAGACAGGGCGUUUUAAAGUUCAAGGGGUCAACAAUUAAAAUUUAGCCUCUCAGAGACAAAAUAUAAUUUUCAAUUUCGAAAUCUUAACAAACAGAACGUUUGAAUUUGCCUGUGCGGCGUGCUUAGUGACAAAGUUGGGACAGAACUGUCAAUUUUCAGCGCACACCUUACAGUGUUUCUUUACGCAUUCCUACUCUCUUUCAAAUCAAAUGCCCUGAGUUACUCCACGUUUUUUGAAAAAAAAAUCCCUUUAUUCUCUUUCAAUCAGAGCGGACCAAUAAAUUGUAGAAAAAAAGACUCACGAAGGAACUCAAAUGAUUGAAAAAAAAAGCGAUGCUAUGAAAACGGAGAGCAAUACUGUUCAGGUCCAGUUUGUUAACAAUGUUUAUAGAACAAGGUAAAGAUUGAGACAUGUAUUCUGGUGUAUGAGAUAUUACAAAUGAGCAAAUUGAUAUAAUAACCUUGUUCUAAUUUC